rnacentral:misc_RNA from 1 species
CCCCCCCCCCCCUCCCCUCCCCUCCCCUCCUCUUCCUCCCUCCGUCCCCCUGGGGGGCCAAACCUCCCCACCAAAAUAAUAAUGAUAAUAAUAAUUCAAACUUGAAACAUCUUUCAACCUGGAAAUGAAUUCAGUACGGUUAAAUCAAAACUCGUGGUCUAAAAAUUCAAAACAUUUGACAAAUGAAAUGCGUACUUGAAUUACAAAUGAAUGAGAGCUGACAUUCUGCUGCAAGCCGUAUUUACAUUAUGGUUGGUUGUCAUAUAAUGAACUACAAAAUCCUCUGGCAGGUUUCUUUCCCUAUUUUCUAAAGAAUAUAAUCUUUGCCCAGAAUGAUUAUUCUUUUUCUGCAAUUACCACAAAAACGUCCUUGAGUGACCACCUCCUCCUCUCACUUUUAGCUGGCGGAUUUAUUACAGCUCUUUCUGCAUUUGCCAAACGGUAACCGAUGACAAUCUCUCUCCUCUGUCGGGCUCGUAAGAUUAUUUCAUAGAAGCUCAAUUCCUCACCUUCACGAAGGUAGAGAUCUGCUUGCCUUAUAUGCAUCUCAUUUCCCUCCUCCGCAAAGAGCUCUUCCAAUACGUCAUUUAUUUGUUUAUCCUCUGCAACCAUGGCCAAUGCCAUGCUGACAAGUUCAUUUGAUAAAACAUAGUCACUGAUUCUUGACAUGGAUAACAGAUUUUUAGUCCUAGGGUCCAGAAUUUCACUGAUUAUUACUGAUUUAUCAGAAGCCUGUUGCAUCUCCCCAAUCCAAGAGCCUUGUGAGAAGCUUCCUCGGUGAACUUGGGUCACCAUAGCCUCUCUAUAUGGGAGACGCUUUGCCUGAAUAUCACGUAUCAAAAGUAACGUAGCAAGAGAUCUGGAAUCAGCUUGAAUGGCUGAAUCUUCCACCGACUCAUCAGCCAAAAUUAAGAUUGAAUCAAAAGACUCCAAGGGAAGACUCUCCAGGUGACGCCGUAUAACAGCAUUUCCCUCUCGAUUAACCAGCGAUAUAUUCACCAACCUGUUGAUGUCCAGGCCACCAUCAAUAAGCUUCUUUUCCCUUUCUUUUUCUGGGAGCUCAUUGAACAUCCAGAGUUCAGAACCUGGACCAAGGAAUGCCUCUAGAACCUCUAGUUGUCUGACUUUACUCCCCAGGUGAUUUGAAUAAGAUACAGAUGAUAUACAAGUGCAAGUUAGCUGCAACAGAAGAUUAGCAACAAAAUCAUUAGCAAUACAAUAUAUAUUCAAACAAUUCAAUUCAAUUCAAUUCAAAAAACCAGACAUUUGCACCGCUUUGAUUCUCAUUAGUAGACCUUGAUGAAAGAGACAUACAAAAAUACAAAAUAUAGAAUCCACAGCAAACUCAGCAAGGGCAAGGCGAAGGCAAUGGGUAGACAACCAGGGCGCGAUGGGCUGAUUGUAAAGCAAACAUGUAUUUAUUUUGAUAUAAUUCAAAAAAAAAUAAUAAUAUAUCCAAAUAAUUUAUUUUAUUGAUAGGUCUGAUCCCAAUACAUAACACAUAAUAAUCGUUGGCAAAUAACGAUGGGCUAAUCAAAUCACACAACAUACCUCUCCACAUUGAACGCUUGACAUCAUCAACCUGAGAGGCAAGGCGAGCUACGGUUCCCAGUUUGCUGGACUUCUUUUUGCCAUUGGCAGGGAGGCCAUUGACCAUUCUCUUUGCACAAACCGCGUGCAGAUGGUACUCACAGACCGUGCAACGAUAUACUCGACCUGAUCUCUUGGCUCUAUUGCAUUCCCCACAAACGAAACCAGGGUCCCCAUUUGGUACACUCGUGGUAACAGAAGGUAGGAUUCUUAGUGGGUGUGGAUGGACCGAAAUGUUAAUUUCAUUAGACAGUAUUGCACAGCAAGGAUGCAUCUGAUAACUACAGGCGUUGCAUUUGAAAGUGUAGCCUUUGGCAGGCUUCCCACAAACAUCACAUGUUGAUUUUCCACCCUUAACUGGUUUUGAAGAGAACAAGCUUUGGUGAUACAUAUGGAGAGGAUGGGCCUUGAGUUCUUCAGGAACCAUGCCGCAGAACUCAUGUAACUUAAAAUCACAUUGUUGGCAAGUGAACCUCUUGCCUGAACCCUUCUCGUUGCAGCCAGCGCAGGUAAAUAUUUCAGGCACAUCAACCAUAUGGAAGACAUGGUGGGGGUGACCGAAAUGAUAUACUUCUUCUCCAAGGACCACGUUAGAGGCAAGGAAAUCAAGCAGAGAAAUACUUCCGGGAAGAUGUGGUGGUGAUUGAGGUGGAGGGUUUGGGAAUUGCAUUGAAGUAGAAUUUUUCAGGGGAAGUGAAGUAGUAUUCUUCAAUGGCUUGUUGUUCAUGAUGAAGGCUUGGCUUGUGAGAAUGGCUAUAUGGAUUGGACUUGGUGGUGCAAAAUGAACAACAAGC